GGCCGGAGGCGGAUGGGUGCCGGGAGCGUUUCGGCGGCGGCGGCGGCGGCCCGGGAUGGCGGAGCGCUUGGAUCACUUAAAACAAUACUACCGAGCAAGAUUCUGUGGGCAAGGAGGAAAGAAGAUCAAUAUACAGCCUGGUGAAAAUGUUCUGAAAUACAUACAGGAUUGUUUUGAAUGUGAUGAUACUGAUGUCAUAGUAAGCUCUCCAGAAGCAACCUGUUUCUCAACUCCUCUUGUCAGAAACCAGGAGAGGACUUCAACACAGAGCCCUAGGCCAGAUGCAGGGUUAACUAACGCGGCAGCAAAUAGAGCCUGUCUUUCCACUGUGUCCUUACCUGCAACGCCAGUGAAGACAGUCAGGAGCAAAGGGGAGCCGUGUGUGUUCUACCCGGAGCCUGGAAGAAACAGUCACAUAGCUGGUUCUGUCAAAACAGACAAUCCUGUGCCAAGAGGAGAAACACAGGUGUUAACAUUCAAAGAUGUUGAAGUACUAUGUGAAAGUCCUGCCAAGUUAUCAGAUCCUGAGGAUGAUCAUGGAGUUGUGGGAUCACCUCUUCUUGUGGAGGAAGCAAAGUCUUCUCCUGUACAAACGCAUACGGACUCAAUCGCACCAUCAUCACCUCCUCCUGUCAAAGAUCGAAACGUAGAAAUAGAAAGCGAUUGUGAGUUUUUAAUUGAUGAAUCAGAUUGUCUGUCUUUUAAGUCUUGGUUUUCAAUACCCCACAAGAACAGAAAGUCAAAAAAAGAUGGCUUCGUGACUCCUGUUUUGAAAUCUCAGUCCUCUGAAAAGGAAAAGACAGCAGAUAAGAAAUGCAAGAACAUGAAGGUACGGGCUGAAGUACAUGGUGAACAGAAAAUGAAGAGUGUCGGAGGGCAACGUGACUUGAAAAGAACGUCAGAAUCCCAUCCGGUCUCUUCUGACAGUGGGGGAGAGGUCCUUAAAUCUCAAAUGAGAAGCAGUACUCGUGUGGGAAAAUCGAAACCAGAUGAACUUAAGGGAUCUUCCAAGCAUAGAAAGAAGAUGUCCUAUCAAUCAAAAGCUGAACAGCUGAUGCUAUCUGGGUUGGACUCAGAAGCAUCUGAUGAAGAACAAAAGAUAAGAAGGGUGAUGGCAAGGGAAGAUUUGCCAGUGCCCUCAGCUGAGCAUCAGCAAGAGCAGAUGCUAUCGCCAAAAAGGAAUCUCACUCCUUGCAAGUACCAGCAGUCUGCUUUAAAAGCUUAUCAGCGUUCAGUUCACAGGAAACAAACUAAGCAAAAACUUGCAAAUGAUAAGGUGUUGAAGAUCCAAAGGAAGAAGCUGAAAAAAUCUGAAAAGAGAAAUGGUAAUAAAAAUCCUGAGCCACAGAGAUGGAAGAGUUCUGACAGUGAACCUGGUGAAGAAGGACUUGAAAGGGAGCCCUUAAAAUCAAGUGAAAUGUUUACCUCACCUCCGCAUCAGGAAUUACAGACUUCUGUGUUUCAGAAGUUGGCUAAGUCUGAAAAAGCUGAGAAAGUAUUGCACUCUUUGGAAACAGUUACUGGUGUAAAUAACAAAACUCCUUUAAAAGCUGCAGAGUUACUGCAGCAUCUCGUAGACAGUAAGAAGAAUUCUGAAAAGAAAAGAUCAUCAGCUACGUCUUCAGGGAAGAUGCUCAAAAAGAUUCAUCACAGAGCCCAUAAAAGAGCUUGCUCAAUCACGGGGGACACUGAGCCUCAAAAUACAACAGAUUCUGACAGCUCUUCUGCACAGGAGGUAGCAAGAAAAAAACACAAGCAAUCAGCUGUGGAAACAAGUCAAAAAAGAAAAAGUAACAGGCACGGGAGACUGCAACAUUCCACUGAAGCUGAGAAAGCUAUGGGUCUUGAAAGCGGGCUUGUUCUAGAACAUUCUGAGAAAUAUACUUCGCCAAGUAAGCACUGUGAAGAGAAUAAUGAAUCUUCAGAUAAUUCUGAAGACCUGCAUUGUCAAAUAAAAAAUCUACUGUCAGACGAGAUAGGCAGGCAAAAAAUAGUGCUGCCUUCCAACACGCCUAAUGUUCGUCGAACAAAAAGGAUACGACUUAAACCUCUGGAAUAUUGGCGAGGAGAGCGAGUGACCUAUACAUUGAAGCCUUCAGGAAGGCUUUUAAUUAGUGGAAUAGCAGGUGCAGAAGCAGAACCUCAAAUGAAGAAUAAGCCGAAGAGUCAUCAUAAGCAGAAAAGAGCUAGAACAAGAAGUGAGGUAGCGAAAUGUUUGGAUGUCCACCUGGCUGAUGCCUCUAAGCCAACCAGCAUAGUGGAUCCAGUAACAAAUCAAGAAGUUCUUCUAGAGUGUGUUAACUCUGGAAGCAGUCACUCAUGUUUCUUCGAAGAUGAAUCAAUAAAAGUAUAUAAAAGUUUGAAUACAUCUGAUUUUGCUGCUGGUAAAUUGAUCUUGAAACCUCUUAAAGAAAAGGGACACCAGUUUGUCCACAUGGAUACAAUAGCUUUCUAUGUUAUCCGUGGCCAGAUUAUUAUCACCUUGCAUAAGACAUCAUAUUACCUGACUUCAGGGGAUUAUUUCUAUGUUCCAGCAGGAAAUGGAUAUAAUGUACGUAAUCUUCUGAACGAGGAAAGUGUUCUUCAUUUCACACAACUCAAAAAUGACAGGGCUCCUGUGGGUGCUGAGUUGUGCAGUGUGGCAAAUGAGAACUGGUCAUUGGAAGGAAAAAGUUGAUGUUUCACCUCUGCUUGGUCUUGCUGUGGCUCCUGCUUCCUACAUUGCUGUACGAAUUGCAGGAAGCGUGUUGUCGGAGCCCUCUUCCCCCUAGGUUCACCUUCAGACUGAAGAUCAUCUAAUGGGAGGGAGUUCUAAAGAACACACUGUUAACUGCCAUCCAGGUAGAAAUAUGUCCCAGUACUGGAGCGUGUAGUUUCAUUGGUCUUAAGAGUAUUUUCCUCCUCUGUAAAUUGUAAAUAUGUGGUUUGUUACAAAUUAGUUUUUCCUUCUUGUCAAUAAAUGUUAAAUAAUACGAACCCAUUUUGAUUUCUUUGCCUUUCUAAAUCAUUUAAAAGUGAAUUUUCUGGUAGUUGAUGAAAGGUUGAAAUUGUGAGUAAUUGCGUGAAAAUGAGGAGCUUGACUUGUAAAUAAUGUAUGAUGUAUAACAUUGAGUGGUUACAAGAGCAUCAACAGUGAAUCUGUUAACUGUUUCAGUGGAGUUGCUCAAAUUUCUAAAAGAAGUUUGGAAGUUAAAUAUACCAAUUUGCCAGAUUGUCUUUGAAAAACAGUGUUCCUGACUGUGGCUUUGGUUCUGGUGUUACUGCCAUAGGUAUACAGGAGCUCCAGCUUAUAAUGUUGUAGGAUCUUUUAGUUUAGAGGUAAAUCAUGAACAGAACUGAACUCCUGCAUUGUCAUAAUCUUUUAGUGCUCUUGAGAUCUGAUGUUUGACAACUUGUCCACUAGUUUUAUAUUUGCCAGGAGUGUCAGCUUUUAGUUAGUUUGUUUGUUUGUUUUUUAAUCUCUUGGGAAUUUCAAUCUGCAUAGAUCUACUAUUAAUUCUACAGCAACUCACACAUUUUCUCAAAAAUAUUAAUGUCAGUAGCAAAAGUAGGUCUCUCUAGGAAAAGGUUUAAAAUCCAGUUUGGGCUCAAGUAUAUAGUGCAUGGCAUUGGCAGUUAGUGUGGGUUUUUGUGUUUGUUUGUUUAUAAUGCACUUUUGCCACAGCUCAACUUGCUGUUCUUAUUGUAAACUAAGUGUUGUAGGCUUGUCUGACAUUUAAAACUUUGGAGUUUGGAACAGUAUUAAAACCAUUCUGACAUUAUAGAAAAAAAUUUUGAGGGUGGGAGAGUGAGAAUAAAUGUUCUCCUGAGCAACAGUGACCUAUGCUAAAAAUGAUAGUGUACUGAGGUAUUUAAAUGCUAUGGGAAGAAAAAAGAAAAGAGCAAGAGGAAUUUUCCACUCUUGGAAUGUUCUGUUAACUCCCAUCAGCUAUGCCCUUACAACGCUCGUUAGCAUUUUGCCAGGAAGGGCCUCGUUGAAGACCAGACUUUGUACCUGCAGUUCUUGAAGCCAAUUACCUGUUUCAAUUCCAGGUAAUAUUUACAAUUAAAGCGAUGGAGAAUCAGGCUUUGGGUUAAGACCUCAGCCUACAUAAAACUCAUUCUGUAUUCUGCCGCUUUUGCCUGUCUGAGAAGUGUGUGCAUGUACCCACCAGCGUGGGAUGUGGGAAGGGGAUGCUGUGUUUGCACAAAGAGCUUAAAACUGAUUCAAGUGCUGUUUUGUUCUUUGGAGCUGCUGAUUAGUUUGCUUUGUUGAGUCCCUUGAGCAGGAAAUGAAUCUCAGGACUCUUCCCUCGGAUAUUCAGUCAGGGUCAUGCUCUCCUGUGCUUGUGGUCUAACACGAGGAAUCAUUACUGCUUUUCUUUUCCACAGUGUUGUAAGUAGGAGCGGAGAUGCCUUCAUCUGGAACAAUCCAUAACAUUGGGUUUCUUUUAAUUGGGUCAAAUCAAUGCAUCGGACAGAAACAAAGCAGUAACCACGUAUAUAACAUACUGCAUUUUGCUAAGCGGGAAGUAAUGCACCUUUUUCUUUGACUUACCUUAAACUUGAUGAAUCAAUCAGAACAUGUCCUUCCUGUACCUGUUAGACUCAAUCAUAACUAUGUAGAAGUUCUAGUGAAAUCUGUAAAUUGACUCAGCUUUAAUUUUUAGGUAGCAACAAGUCUUUGUCUUGUAUCUCUGUACUGAUUAUCUUUUUGGGGGAGGGAAGGAUUGUGGGGUGUCUUUUCAGUUUUUCCAGUGACCAGAAAUGAGAUCCAUGUCAGCGGAAGGUCCAAAAUGUUUCGUAAGUUUUAAGGUGCGAUUAACAGGUAAAGUGGACAAUUUGUAGGGCAAGAAAGAAGGUGAAGGGUAUAUUUCUUCUGCAUGUAGUAAAAUUCAACUUUUUAUCUUAGUGCAUGGAAACCAAAGUACAAGCUACUUGGAAUGCAUUUAUGGACAUAAAGGGAAAUCGUUCUUCAAGCAGUAACGCAUCUUCUUAAGCAACAGUGUACCGGUCUAAGGUAACAGUUUUGCUGCUGCUAAAUACUAAGACCAGUUUGUGCCUCAGACAGAGGAGUGACCAACUGCCUCAAUUGUGUACGCUAAACCCUUUUCAUCUCCCAGGCUGCAGCACGUGUGGCAGGUAAAUGCUAGACGUGAGAAUAUUAGGAAUUUGGGAAUAUCCAGAACUUAGAGUCCCCUGUCACAGCAGAAGUGACCUGAGAUUGCAGAAGAGCUCAGGGUCACAGUGGCGGUACCAGUGUCCAAAAUUAUCCCAAUCUGCUGGUUUGUGCUGCCACACAGAGGAAGGAGACAGGUUAUGCAGUGGUCUAGAGUGGUUACACUGUAGCUCAGUUCCAGGUACAGUAUAUAACUUAUUGGCACCAAAUGCACCACAAGCUAUAGAACUGUUGCCCUGUUAUUAUCUAAUUCUGAACAUUUGUGCCUUGAGAUGUGGUGGAUAUAAAAGCAAAUGCUUAUAUCCAGAGCUCCAGAGUUGCCUCAGAAGUUCUGCAUUGUCUGGUGGUGGCAGAAGAGGUUAUUAUAAGUCACACUUAUUGCAUGCUUUUGGCAGCUCAGGAUUGGUUUUGUCAUGUUAGUCUUUUGGUGCUUUUCAGUACUUGCAGGUACAAAGAUCCUUCUCUCCUGUGGGAAGCAAAUUGGUUAUGCUGGUAUGUGGUCUGCUGGUGUAGAACUAACUGCUUUCUCAUGUUAUUCUGCUGUUACUAAAAUAAAACUUUCUCCUCUGCAGAUAAGCAGUUUAAACUCA